UACAGAGGUGGCAAGCGUUGUUCGGAAUUACUGGGCGUAAAGGGCGCGUAGGCGGCCAUCUAAGUCAGACGUGAAAUCCCCCGGCUCAACCUGGGAACUGCGUCUGAUACUGGAUGGCUUGAAUCCGGGAGAGGGAUGCAGAAUUCCAGGUGUAGCGGUGAAAUGCGUAGAUAUCUGGAGGAAUACCGGUGGCGAAGGCGGCAUCCUGGACCGGCAUUGACGCUGAGGAGCGAAAGCUAGGGGAGCAAACGGG
rnacentral:rRNA from 1 species